CAUCUCCGCCAUCUUGUAGUCUCCCGCUCUUCACAUCUGCCCCACAUAGUACAUUGUGGACCUUUUACGUUUUGUAAUUUGAGUGGCUGUCUGAUUCAUUUUGUCCUGGCAUUUUGUGUUUCCAUAGAGACACAUUUCAGGCGAGUCACCAAUUUUUCAUGGAUCAACAAGGAAUACAUUUAGACGCCUUCACACGCAUUCAAAACGAGUGGAGACUUACCACCGUGAUCACUACAAUUUGAUUGAAAUGUUGGUUGCAGUGCAUUUGAUUAAAAUGUCUUGUUUUGUUUAAAAAUCUGGUAUUUGGGCCAUAAUCUGUGGGAUGGUUAAUCUUGUUACUGUUGUGGUCGGAGCUAGGUAAAUAGGAGUUAUCACGUGCGAUGGAGUGGCCGCCAGGUGGCACAUAGGCACGUGACAAUGCCUCACCAUCC
rnacentral:sRNA from 1 species